rnacentral:tRNA from 2 species
GAUAAAAUGGCUGAGUCAAUAGGCAAUAAAUUGUAAAUUUAUGAACGGGAUUAACCUUUUAUCA